AUUGAACGCUGGCGGCAGGCUUAACACAUGCAAGUCGAGCGGGGUGAUGGUGCUUGCACUAUCACUUAGCGGCGGACGGGUGAGUAAUGCUUAGGAAUCUGCCUAUUAGUGGGGGACAACAUCUCGAAAGGGAUGCUAAUACCGCAUACGUCCUACGGGAGAAAGCAGGGGAUCGCUUGUGACCUUGCGCUAAUAGAUGAGCCUAAGUCGGAUUAGCUAGUUGGUGGGGUAAAGGCCUACCAAGGCGACGAUCUGUAGCGGGUCUGAGAGGAGGAUCCGCCACACUGGGACUGAGACACGGCCCAGACUCCUACGGGAGGCAGCAGUGGGGAAUAUUGGACAAUGGGGGGAACCCUGAUCCAGCCAUGCCGCGUGUGUGAAGAAGGCCUUAUGGUUGUAAAGCACUUUAAGCGAGGAGGAGGCUCUUUUGGUUAAUACCCAAGAUGAGUGGACGUUACUCGCAGAAUAAGCACCGGCUAACUCUGUGCCAGCCGCCGCGGUAA
rnacentral:rRNA from 1 species